rnacentral:tRNA from 1 species
GGAUGAGAAGUUGAAUAAUGUUAAUUUGUCAGGUUAAAGGUGGGAAAUU